rnacentral:tRNA from 2 species
GGCCCAGUGGUCUAGCCGGUUAGGACGCCAGCCUCUCAAGCUGGAGAUCGCGGGUUCGAUCCCCGCCUGGGUCA